rnacentral:tRNA from 1 species
GCCUCUAUAGCUCAGUUGGUAGAGCGUUCGCUUCGUAAGCGAAAGGUCCUGAGUUCGAACCUCAGUGGGGGCA